rnacentral:sRNA from 1 species
GCGGAAGUGGGUUGCUGUUGAGGCGGCGGCAUCUUUCUCGAGGAGCUCUCCUGGGCGGCUGAAGAAGGAGCUUCUUCUCCGGAGUGCGCCGGCGGCGGCGCCUGCGGACCUAACUAGCUCCAGGUUAGGCCGGGCUUUGCGGGAAAGCAGCGGACUUGAAAAUACUGGAAAUCUGUCCGGAUCCAAAUUAUUUUGCAAGCCAGAUGAGUAACCAGAGGGCAUGAAAGGUUGAGAACAUUUGACUUCCCUGCAAACCUUGGUAUAGAUCACUUCCUUUUCUGUAGGAAAGGAAAGGCACCAAAGAGCACAAUGAGUACAGUAAGUUUUAUCAUCUCUUAAAUUUUUAAUUUUGUAGGGCUAAUUAACUACCUUAUUCCUUGUAGCACAUUAGUGAAAGUGAGUUCCAUAAUGUCACUUCUAAGUAACCCCACUUCUUGAAGGAAUAUGUAUAGGAGCUUUCUGGUGGUUACAUCAGCUUACUUACCGACAUUGAGCUACAUUCUAGUCAUAAAGGGCAGUGCCCUGAAGACAAAAGGCUGAGAAGGAAUAGCUUAGGGUUUGGUAAUCUCAGACCUUCACAACAGUUGUCAGUGUCAUAGAAAUACUAAAACUUU